rnacentral:RNase_P_RNA from 1 species
UUUCGGGUAAUCGCGGUCUAUUUUUAUAGGCUGAGGAAAGUCCAAGCUUGCACAAGCUGAGAUGCUUGUAGUGAUCGUGCUUGCUGAAAAAAUAAGGCAAGGUACCUUAAUUGGUAACGGCAGAUAAAAAGGCUAAAGCGUAUGCCAUGCCUGAGUAGUCUUGAAAAGUGCCACAGUGACGAAGCAGUUAUGGAAACGUAGCUGGUGGAACGAGGUAAACCCCGCGAGCAGGUAACCCAAACUUUGGUAGGGGCGCUUCAUGACGGAAAUGAACAAAUCAUGGGGGCGAGUUUUUAACUCGGAGAUAGAUGAUUACCACCGAUUUCGGAUUCCUGAACCGAAUGACGUACGGAACGUGGCUUAUAG